rnacentral:sRNA from 1 species
GUUUAUUCUCUGUUUU